UGGCUUUCACUCUGCCCAGGGAUGGGUUAAACAAGGUGCCUGCUCUGCAGAGCCCACGUGUGGCAUCUGAUCCCAGAGAAGAUCCCAUUGGGUCAGUGGUCAAUGGGUCAAGUUCUGGGGAAUUAUUCUCCUUCAAGGGAAGAAACAGAGCCCAGCCGGUUAGUCCGCAAUAUUGUUCCUGGAAGGAUGGAUUUUUAUCCUGGAAAGAAGUGCACAUCUGUAUCAACUCAGGACAUUGACUCAUCAGCAUGUGACAUGCUUCUGGCUAGGUUGCUUCUCCUGCAUGGGACCUGGGGCAGGUCUCUCCUGUCUGGUCAGAGCUGAGGGCUGGGUCCUGCUUUGCAAGCGGCGCGUGAUGGCACAGCCCCCACUGCUGCUCCAGGGGCCUCCGUGGGAAUCCAACACCAGCAGCUUCAGGAGACGGUCUGACUUUAGACUUAGCUGUGAAAGUGACCCAUUUCUCUUUUCUUUAGGAUUCCCCACUGCUGUCCCUUCACCUCCUCGUUUUCUCCCCCUGCAGCAGCGCCCAUCCGUUCCUCGCACCCACUGAGCAUGCUGCUGGCAAGCUCAGGUUGGAGAGCAAGGCAGCAGGUGUGUGUGUGCUCUGCAGCU
rnacentral:lncRNA from 1 species